GUCUUGGCUUCUUACACGAUGAAGAACGUUGCAUAAUGCGAUAAGCGGCUGGAUUAGCUUUCUUUGCGACAAGUUCGAUCUUUGAAUGCACAUUGCGCGCCGUUUUAGCUUGCUAGA
rnacentral:rRNA from 1 species